rnacentral:rRNA from 1 species
UAGGGAAUCUUCGGCAAUGGACGAAAGUCUGACCGAGCAACGCCGCGCGUGUGAAGAAGGUUUUCGGAUCGUAAAACUCUGUUGUUAGAGAAGAACAAGGACGUUAGUAACUGAACGUCCCCUGACGGUAUCUAACCAGAAAGCCACGGCUAACUACGUGCCAGCAGCCGCGGUAAUACGUAGGUGGCAAGCGUUGUCCGGAUUUAUUGGGCGUAAAGCGAGCGCAGGCGGUUUCUUAAGUCUGAUGUGAAAGCCCCCGGCUCAACCGGGGAGGGUCAUUGGAAACUGGGAGACUUGGGUGCAGAAGAGGAAAGUGGAAUUCCAUGUGUAGCGUUGAAAUGCGUAGAUAUAUGGAGGAACGCCAGUGGCGAAGGCGGCUCUCUGGUCUGUAACUGACGCUGAGGCUCGAAAGCGUGGGGAGCAAACAGG